rnacentral:rRNA from 1 species
UCCAGACUCCUACGGGAGGCAGCAGUGGGGGAUAUUGCACAAUGGGGGGAACCCUGAUACAGCGACGCCGCGUGGGUGAAGGAGUGCUUCGGCAUGUAAAGCCCUAUCGGCAGGGAAGAAGCAAGACGGUACCUGACUAAGAAGCCCCGGCUAACUACGUGCCAGCAGCCGCGGUAAUACGUAGGGGGCAAGCGUUAUCCGGAUUCACUGGGUGUAAAGGGAGCGUAGACGGCGACGCAAGUCUGGAGUGAAAGCCCGGGGCCCAACCCCGGGACUGCUCUGGAAACUACGUCGCUGGAGUACGGGAGGGGCAGGCGGAAUUCCUGGUGUAGCGGUGAAAUGCGUAGAUAUUAGGAGGAACACCAGUGGCGAAGGCGGCCUGCUGGACUGCAACUGACGUUGAGGCUCGAAGGCGUGGGGAGCAAACAGGAUUAGAUACCCCAGUAGC